CUGAGAGCGAGUGGCUUCUUGAAUUUUGUACCCUAGAAGCCUCUCUUCCCUUACCGUAGUGUAAACACCCAACAGGUUUGUCCUGCUCACUGCACAGACAAAACCAAUUCACUGUGACUGUGUUAUUGCAAUACAGAAAGAGUGUCAUUAACACACGGCCACCAAGUGGAAGGACUGGAGUUAUCACUCAAAUCAGCCUCCCUGAGAACUGAGAGGCCAGCAUUUUUAUGGAUAAUCCGGUGGGCAGGGGUAUGGGGAAUGGGUGCUGCAACUGGUUGGGGAUGAAGUCAUAGGGGUGUGGAAAAUGGUUCUCAUGUACUGAGUUUGCCUCUGGGUGGAGCCCCAGGAUGAGAUGAGUCAUGAGUCAUGGGUCCAGGAGAGCCCAGUCAGUUGCCAGAAUGCAAAGGUCUGAAACAUAUCUCAAAAGACUCAUCUUAGGUUCUACAAUAGCAGUGUUAUCUAUAGAAGCAAUUGGGGAAGUCACACAUCUUGUGACCUCUGGCCACAUAGCUCCUGAGAGGCUUUGAUGUGCGGACCAUCAGCAGGAUUGCAAAGCAUUAACAGAUGGAGAGGAAGGACAGGAGUGGACAGAGCUUCCCUCCCAGAUGGAGGGAUUGAUUGAUAUUAACCACACGGAGUUAUAGGGCAGUAGGUCACCAUGAGAUGACAACCUAGAGCUUUGGCAGCAGGUCGACUUUGGUGUAAGUCCUGGCUCUGCCUCUUAACUGUUUCCAUAAGAUUUAGUUUUCUCAUUUGUAACCUGGGCACAAGACUACAUGCCACCCAAGGUAGUUGUGACGGUCAAAUCACAGGUGUACAGGCAAAUCACAGAAGAAAGCAUUGAGCACAGCUAUGGCCAUGGUAGGUGGUGAAUGGACCAUAGCUGCUAUCAUUAUUACACCAAAUCCCCUUAGGGUUGCAAAGCACCCUUUCACAAUUGAUAUCCUGAUAUCAUUGAGGAGCAAAGAACUCGUGUAUUUGUCCAUGAUUAUGCACAGUUAGGUGGUAAAAUAAUUGGAAGGACCUUGAAGAUAAGUGCAACUCUUAAAUCUCUGAUAUUUUUCUCAAGUACCUCCUUCUAGGGUCUAAGCAGAACAGGG
rnacentral:lncRNA from 1 species